rnacentral:rRNA from 1 species
ACAUGCAGUCGAGCGGGGAAGGUUGGCUUGCUACCUGACCUAGCGGCGGACGGGUGAGUAAUGCUUAGGAAUCUGCCUAUUAGUGGGGGACAACAUUUCGAAAGGAAUGCUAAUACCGCAUACGCCCUACGGGGGAAAGCAGGGGAUCUUCUGACAUUGCGCUUAUAUAUGAGACCUCAUGUGAUUACCUAGUUUUUGGGGUAUAGGCCUAUAACGGCGACCAUCUGUAACGGGUCUUAGAGGAUGAUACACCGCACUGGGACUGACACACAGCCCACACUCCUACAGAAGGCAGCAGUGGGGAGUAUUGUACAAUCUGCGAAAAUCUGAUCCAGCCUUACCGAGUGUGUGAAGAAGGCCUUUUGGUUGUAUCGCACUUUAAACGAGGAGGAGGCUACUUAAAUUAAUACUCUAAGAUAGUGGACAUCACUCGCAGAAAAAUCACCGGAUAACUCUGUGCCAGCACCCGCGGUAAUACACAGGGUGCGAUAGUUACUCUGAUUUAUAGGGAGUAUAGCGUGCGUAAGCGGCUUCUUAUGUCUGAUGUGAAAUCCACUGAGCUUAACUUAGGAAUUGCAUUCAAUACUGGGAAGCUANAGUANGGGAGAGNAUGGUNGAAUUCNNNGUGUANCNGUGNAAUGCGUANAGAUCUGGANGAAUANCGAUGGCGAAGGNAGCCAUNUGGCNUANUACUGACNCUNAGGUACNAAAGCNNGGGGAGCNNACAGGAUUANAUACCCUGNUAGUCNNUGCCGUAAACGAUGUCUACUAGCCGUUGGGGCCUUUGAGGCUUUAGUGGCGCAGCUAACGCGAUAAGUAGACCGCCUGGGGAGUACGGUCGCAAGACUAAAACUCAAAUGAAUUGACGGGGGCCCGCACAAGCGGUGGAGCAUGUGGUUUAAUUCGAUGCAACGCGAAGAACCUUACCUGGUCUUGACAUAGUAAGAACUUUCCAGAGAUGGAUUGGUGCCUUCGGGAACUUACAUACAGGUGCUGCAUGGCUGUCGUCAGCUCGUGUCGUGAGAUGUUGGGUUAAGUCCCGCAACGAGCGCAACCCUUUUCCUUAUUUGCCAGCGGGUUAAGCCGGGAACUUUAAGGAUACUGCCAGUGACAAACUGGAGGAAGGCGGGGACGACGUCAAGUCAUCAUGGCCCUUACGACCAGGGCUACACACGUGCUACAAUGGUCGGUACAAAGGGUUGCUACCUAGCGAUAGGAUGCUAAUCUCAAAAAGCCGAUCGUAGUCCGGAUUGGAGUCUGCAACUCGACUCCAUGAAGUCGGAAUCGCUAGUAAUCGCGGAUCAGA